rnacentral:rRNA from 1 species
CCUACGGGAGGCAGCAGUGAGGAAUAUUGGUCAAUGGACGCGAGUCUGAACCAGCCAAGUAGCGUGCAGGAUGACUGCCCUAUGGGUUGUAAACUUCUUUUAUAUGGGAAUAAACUGUUCCACGUGUGGCUUUUUGUAUGUACCAUAUGAAUAAGGAUCGGCUAAUUCCGUGCCAGCAGCCGCGGUAAUACGGAGGGUCCGAGCGUUAUCCGGAUUUAUUGGGUUUAAAGGGAGCGCAGGUGGAUCGUUAAGCCAGUUGUGAAAUUCUGCGGCUCAACCGUAGAAUUGCAGUUGAAACUGGCAGUCUUGAGUACAGUAGAGGUAGGCGGAAUUCGUGGUGUAGCGGUGAAAUGCUUAGAUAUCACGAAGAACGCCGAUUGCGAAGGCAGCUCACUGUACUGCAACUGACGCUGAGGCUCGAAGGUGUGGGUAUCAAACAGGAUUAGAUACCCGAGUAGUC